GCAGUCGAACGAGAAACGGUCUAGCUUGCUAGAUGCAGUCUAAGUGGCGCACGGGUGAGUAAUGUAUAGCUAAUGUGCCCCUUGGAGGGGGAUAACAGUUGGAAACGGCUGCUAAUACCCCAUACUCCUUCAUUCUUAAUGAGUGAAGGGAAAGUUUUUUCGCCAAGGGAUCAGGCUAUAUGGUAUCAGCUAGUUGGUGAGGUAACGGCUCACCAAGGCAAUGACGCCUAACUGGUCUGAGAGGAUGAUCAGUCACACUGGAACUGAGACACGGUCCAGACUCCUACGGGAGGCAGCAGUGGGGAAUAUUGCACAAUGGAGGAAACUCUGAUGCAGCAACGCCGCGUGGAGGAUGACACAUUUCGGUGUGUAAACUCCUUUUAUAUGGGAAGAUAAUGACGGUACCAUAUGAAUAAGCACCGGCUAACUCCGUGCCAG
rnacentral:rRNA from 1 species